rnacentral:rRNA from 1 species
AGGGCGAACGCUGGCGGCGUGCCUAACACAUGCAAGUCGAACGGGACCAGGGGCAACUCUGGUUCAGUGGCGGACGGGUGCGUAACACGUGAGGAACAUGACCUUCGGCGGGGGAUAGCCGGCCCAACGGCCGGGUAAUACCGCGUACGACCAUCCGGGGACAUCCCUGGGUGGUGAAAGCAGCAAUGCGCCGAUGGAGUGCCUCGCGGCCUAUCAGCUAGUUGGUGAGGUAACGGCUCACCAAGGCGACGACGGGUAGCUGGUCUGAGAGGAUGGCCAGCCACAUUGGGACUGAGACACGGCCCAGACUCCUACGGGAGGCAGCAGUGGGGAAUAUUGCGCAAUGGACGAAAGUCUGACGCAGCGACGCCGCGUGUGGGAUGACGGU